UACGGGGGGGGCAAGCGUUGUUCGGAAUUACUGGGCGUAAAGGGCGCGUAGGCGGCCUUCUAAGUCGGACGUGAAAUCCCUCGGCUCAACCGGGGAACUGCGUCCGAUACUGGAGGGCUCGAAUCCGGGAGAGGGAUGUGGAAUUCCAGGUGUAGCGGUGAAAUGCGUAGAUAUCUGGAGGAACACCGGUGGCGAAGGCGGCAUCCUGGACCGGCAUUGACGCUGAGGCGCGAAAGCUAGGGGAGCAAACGGG
rnacentral:rRNA from 1 species